CGCGUAGGCGGCGCGGUAAGUCACUUGUGAAAUCUCUGAGCUUAACUCAGAACGGCCAAGUGAUACUGCAGUGCUAGAGUGUGGAAGGGGCAAUCGGAAUUCUUGGUGUAGCGGUGAAAUGCGUAGAUAUCAAGAGGAACACCUGAGGUGAAGACGGGUCGCUGGGCCAACACUGACGCUGAGGCGCGAAAGCCAGGGAGCAAACG
rnacentral:rRNA from 1 species